rnacentral:rRNA from 1 species
AAAUGCUAGUCGACGGCAGCGCGGGGCAACCUGGCGGCGAGUGGCGAACGGGUGAGUAAUAUAYCSGAACGUACCCAAGAGUGGGGGAUAACGUAGCGAAAGUUACGCUAAUACCGCAUACGAUCUAUGGAUGAAAGCAGGGGACCGCAAGGCCUUGUGCUCCUGGAGCGGCCGAUAUCUGAUUAGCUAGUUGGUGAGGUAAAGGCUCACCAAGGCYACGAUCAGUAGCUGGUCUGAGAGGACGACCAGCCACACUGGAACUGAGACACGGUCCAGACUCCUACGGGAGGCAGCAGUGGGGAAUUUUGGACAAUGKGCGCA